CAAGAUAAACAUGUUAGGUUGACAGUCCAUCUACAUAAUUCUUGAUUAUAGUUUCAAUGUUUAUUAAGAAUCCACCACAAGACAAAAAUAACUCUUACAUAAGUGCUGAUUUACACAAAAGGCACCAGGCUAUCCACAACAUGAACUACAUAAAUAAAGAGAAUAAGGGCAAGAAGGAAGGAAGAAAGAAUGAACCAAAAAGAAAUAAUACUGUACAGGGGCAGUUUCUACCUUCAGUUCAGAUCACACCAGCCACUCGUCACAAAACAUACAUGAAAUAAACCGACAUAAAGCCAACAGUGUACAGAAACCACACAGCAUCAUAAAAUCUGUUACCGACAAACUAAAUAAACAGCACAAGGAAACAAAAUAGUUUUCCUUGCAUUUAAUUAAAUAUACAUUCCAAAUAAAACUUGCAGACCUUAUAUUUUUUUCAUGUAUCAAUAUGACUUCAGAAUAAUGGGCCAUUAAUCAGAAAAUCGACGUUGGAUUUGAAUUUCACAUGGGUAAAAACAGUCAACUAAACAUUCUACCUUCAAAUUCAGAAGUUCUCAUGGCAGUGAAUUUGUUGAUUAUUUGGCUGGAUUAGUAUAUUUUGCAUUAAGAAAAUGGGCUUCUCACACAGCACUUCUGGAAAAGCAAUUUUUUUUACAAAAGAGUGACAAAACAUCAGCAAGUAUUUUGCUCAAGGAAUUCCAAGAUAUGGUGAAAUAAGAGUUUGAGCAAUCCUGAGAAGAGAAAACUAUAUGGAUGAUUACUGUUCUACUCACUUUGUAUUAAUUACAUGUUACUGUUCUACCCACUUUGUAUUAAUUACAUGAUUACUGUUCUACCCACUUUGUAUUAAUUACAUGAUUACUGUUCUA